AUUGAACGCUGGCGGCAGGCCUAACACAUGCAAGUCGAACGAGUCGCGGACGGGUGAGUAAUGUCUAGGAACCUGCCUGGUUGUGGGGGAUAACGUCCGGAAACGGGCGCUAAUACCGCAUACCAUCCGCUGUGCCCAGGUGGGCUUAGCUUGUUGGUGGGGUAACGGCUCACCACGGCGACGAUCCCUAGCCGGUCUGAGAGGAUGACCGGCCACACUGGAACUGAGACACGGUCCAGACGCCUACGGGAGUCAGCAGGGGGGAAUAGUGCACAAUGGGCGCAAGCCUGAUGCAGCCAUGCCGCGUGAAUGAAGAAGGGCUUCGGGUUGUAAAGUACUUUCAGCGGGGAGGCGGUACCCGAAGAAGAAGCACCGGCUAACUCCGUGCCAGCAGCCGCGGUAAUUC
rnacentral:rRNA from 1 species